rfam:Ovis aries breed Texel chromosome 11, whole genome shotgun sequence.
UCCCUGGUAGCUCAUCGGUAAAGAAUCUGCCUGCAAUGCAGGAGGCCCUGGUUCGAUUCCUGGGUUGGGAA